rnacentral:rRNA from 1 species
UGGGGAAUAUUGCACAAUGGGCGCAAGCCUGAUGCAGCCAUGCCGCGUGUGUGAAGAAGGCCUUCGGGUUGUAAAGCACUUUCAGCGAGGAGGAAGGUGGUGAACUUAAUACGUUCAUCAAUUGACGUUACUCGCAGAAGAAGCACCGGCUAACUCCGUGCCAGCAGCCGCGGUAAUACGGAGGGUGCAAGCGUUAAUCGGAAUUACUGGGCGUAAAGUGCACGCAGGCGGUUUGUUAAGUCGGAUGUGAAAUCCCCGGGCUCAACCUGGGAACUGCAUUUGAAACUGGCAAGCUAGAGUCUCGUAGAGGGGGGUAGAAUUCCAGGUGUAGCGGUGAAAUGCGUAGAGAUCUGGAGGAAUACCGGUGGCGAAGGCGGCCCCCCUGGACGAAGACUGACGCUCAGGUGCGAAAGCGUGGGGCAGCAAACAGGAUUAGAUACCCUGGUAGUCCACGCUGUAAACGAUGUCGAUUUUGGAGGUUGUGCCCCUUGAGGCGUGGCUUCCGGAGCUAACGCGUUAAAUCGACCGCCUGGGGAGUACGGCCGCAAGGUUAAAACUCAAAUGAAUUG